CCUACGGGUGGCAGCAGUGAGGAAUAUUGGUCAAUGGGCUUACGCCUGAACCAGCCAAGUCGCGUGAGGGAAGACUGUCCUAUGGGUUGUAAACUUCUUUUGUCAGGGAGCAAUUGGCGCUACGUGUAGCGUUAUCGAGAUUCUCUGCACAAAAAGCAUCGGCUAAUUCCGUGCCAGCAGCGCCGGUAAUCCGGGGGAUGCGGGCGUUAUCCGGAUUUAUUGGGUUUAAGGGUUGCGCAGGCGGAAGAUCAAGUCAGCGGUAAAAUUGAGAGGCUCAACCUCUUCGAGCCGUUGAAACUGGUUGUCGUGAGUGAGGGAGAGGUAUGCGGAAUGCGUGGUGUAGCGGUGAAAUGCAUAGAUAUCACGCAGAACUCCGAUUGCGAAGGCAGCAUACCGGCGGUCAACUGACGCUCAGGCACGAAAGUGUGGGUAUCGAACAGGAUUAGAUACCCGAGUAGUC
rnacentral:rRNA from 1 species